CCUACGGGGUGCUGCAGUGGGGAAUAUUGGACAAUGGGCGAAAGCCUGAUCCAGCCAUGCCGCGUGUGUGAAGAAGGCCUUCGGGUUGUAAAGCACUUUCAUUGGGGAAGAAAGCCUUGGGGCUAAUACCCUCGAGGAAGGACAUCACCCACAGAAGAAGCACCGGCUAACUCCGUGCCAGCAGCCGCGGUAAUACGGAGGGUGCGAGCGUUAAUCGGAAUUACUGGGCGUAAAGCGCGCGUAGGCGGUCUGAUAAGUCGGUUGUGAAAGCCCCGGGCUCAACCUGGGAACGGCAUCCGGAACUGUCAGGCUAGAGUGCAGUAGAGGAAGGUAGAAUUCCCGGUGUAGCGGUGAAAUGCGUAGAGAUCGGGAGGAAUACCAGUGGCGAAGGCGGCCUUCUGGACUGACACUGACGCUGAGGUGCGAAAGCGUGGGUAGCAAACAGGAUUAGAUACCCCAGUAGUC
rnacentral:rRNA from 1 species